GUUUGCUUUGACAGUACAUAUACUAAAAAUUGGAACGAAACAGAGAUUAAGAUGGUCCCUGUUCAAGGAUGGGUCCCUGUUCAAGGAUGACUAGCAAACAUAU